rnacentral:tRNA from 1 species
GUAGAGCAAUGGGUAGCGCGUUGGACUUCUAAUCCAAAGGUCGUGGGUUCCAAUCACACAUCG